rnacentral:rRNA from 1 species
UGGGGAAUAUUGCACAAUGGGCGCAAGCCUGAUGCAGCCAUGCCGCGUGUGUGAAGAAGGCCUUCGGGUUGUAAAGCACUUUCAGCGGGGAGGAAGGCGUUAAGGUUAAUAACCUUGGCGAUUGACGUUACCCGCAGUAGAAGCACCGGCUAACUCCGUGCCAGCAGCCGCGGUAAUACGGAGGGUGCAAGCGUUAAUCGGAAUUACUGGGCGUAAAGCGCACGCAGGCGGUUUGUUAAGUCAGAUGUGAAAUCCCCGGGCUCAACCUGGGAACUGCAUCUGAUACUGGCAAGCUUGAGUCUCGUAGAGGGGGGUAGAAUUCCAGGUGUAGCGGUGAAAUGCGUAGAGAUCUGGAGGAAUACCGGUGGCGAAGGCGGCCCCCUGGACGAAGACUGACGCUCAGGUGCGAAAGCGUGGGGAGCAAACAGG